rnacentral:rRNA from 1 species
UACGAAGGGGGCUAGCGUUGCUCGGAUUCACUGGGCGUAAAGGGUGCGUAGGCGGUCGGGUAAGUCUGAUGUGAAAUCUCACAGCUUAACUGUGAAACUGCAUUGGAUACUAUCCGGCUCGAGGAAUGGAGGGGAGACUGGAAUACUUGGUGUAGCAGUGAAAUGCGUAGAUAUCAAGUGGAACACCAGUGGCGAAGGCGAGUCUCUGGACAAAACCUGACACUGAGGCACGAAAGCUAGGGGAGCAAACAGG